CAGCCGCCGCGGGAACACGUAGGGUGUGAGCGUUAAUCGGAAUUACUGGGCGUAAAGCGUGCGCAGGCGGUUGUGUAAGACAGGUGUGAAAUCCCCGGGCUUAACCUGGGAACUGCGCUUGUGACUGCACAGCUAGAGUAUGGCAGAGGGGGGUGGAAUUCCACGUGUAGCAGUGAAAUGCGUAGAGAUGUGGAGGAACACCGAUGGCGAAGGCAGCCCCCUGGGCCAAUACUGACGCUCAUGCACGAAAGCGUGGGGAGCAAACAGGAUUAGAUACCCGCGUAGUCCCUGUCUCUUAUAC
rnacentral:rRNA from 1 species